GACGAACGCUGGCGGCGUGCCUAAUACAUGCAAGUAGAACGCUGAAGAGAGGAGCUUGCUCUUCUUGGAUGAGUUGCGAACGGGUGAGUAACGCGUAGGUAACCUGCCUUGUAGCGGGGGAUAACUAUUGGAAACGAUAGCUAAUACCGCAUAACAAUGGAUGACACAUGUCAUUUAUUUGAAAGGGGCAAUUGUUCCACUACAAGAUGGACCUGCGUUGUAUUAGCUAGUAGGUGAGGUAAUGGCUCACCUAGGCGACGAUACAUAGCCGACCUGAGAGGGUGAUCGGCCACCCUGGGACUGGGACACGGCCCAGACUCCUACGGGGGGCAGCAGUAGGGAAUCUUCGGCAAUGGGGGCAACCCUGACCGAGCAACGCCGCGUGAGUGAAGAAGGGUUUCGGAUCGUAAAGCUCUGUUGUAAGUCAAGAACGGGUGUGAGAGUGGAAAGUUCACACUGUGACGGUAGCUUACCAGAAAGGGACGGCUAACUACGUG
rnacentral:rRNA from 1 species